rnacentral:RNase_P_RNA from 2 species
GAGAGAGGAAGGACGGCUGCCGGGUUCAUAUAACCUGAGGAAAGUCUCCCCACCGCUAAACACGAGCACCUGUAAAGGGUGCCGGGCGAGAGCUCGGGCAGUUAACAGAUAAUGUUAACCAUGCAAACAGUGCAUGCUGGCACAGAAACGAUACCAGUGCAUGUUAAUGCUAUGAUGCCGAAAGGCUGAGGUCGCAUGCAUCCUGGAUGGAACGGCGAAUCCUCGUGGGUGCAAGUCGGUGAAGAGCAAAUAUGUUGCUCUUCCCAUUUAUUGACGCUAAGCUGAAUGCCGCCAUUGCAAGUACUCCUUAAAGAGUCAUUCUGCAUUUUCAAGAAAUGCAGGAUAUUUGCAACAACAGAAGGGAGCUUACUCUCCUCACUC